rnacentral:rRNA from 1 species
AAUGCACAUGCUGUGAGCUCGAUGAGUAGGGCGGGACACGUGGUAUCCUGUCUGAAUAUGGGGGGACCAUCCUCCAAGGCUAAAUACUCCUGACUGACCGAUAGUGAACCAGUACCGUGAGGGAAAGGCGAAAAGAACCCCGGCGAGGGGAGUGAAAAAGAACCUGAAACCGUGUACGUACAAGCAGUGGGAGCCUCUUUUAUGGGGUGACUGCGUACCUUUUGUAUAAUGGGUCAGCGACUUAUAUUCUGUAGCAAGGUUAACCGAAUAGGGGAGCCGAAGGGAAACCGAGUCUUAACUGGGCGUUAAGUUGCAGGGUAUAGACCCGAAACCCGGUGAUCUAGCCAUGGGCAGGUUGAAGGUUGGGUAACACUAACUGGAGGACCGAACCGACUAAUGUUGAAAAAUUAGCGGAUGACUUGUGGCUGGGGGUGAAAGGCCAAUCAAACCGGGAGAUAGCUGGUUCUCCCCGAAAGCUAUUUAGGUAGCGCCUCGUGAAUUCAUCUCCGGGGGUAGAGCACUGUUUCGGCAAGGGGGUCAUCCCGACUUACCAACCCGAUGCAAACUGCGAAUACCGGAGAAUGUUAUCACGGGAGACACACGGCGGGUGCUAACGUCCGUCGUGAAGAGGGAAACAACCCAGACCGCCAGCUAAGGUCCCAAAGUCAUGGUUAAGUGGGAAACGAUGUGGGAAGGCCCAGACAGCCAGGAUGUUGGCUUAGAAGCAGCCAUCAUUUAAAGAAAGCGUAAUAGCUCACUGGUCGAGUCGGCCUGCGCGGAAGAUGUAACGGGGCUAAACCAUGCACCGAAGCUGCGGCAGCGACGCUUAUGCGUUGUUGGGUAGGGGAGCGUUCUGUAAGCCUGCGAAGGUGUACUGUGAGGUAUGCUGGAGGUAUCAGAAGUGCGAAUGCUGACAUAAGUAACGAUAAAGCGGGUGAAAAGCCCGCUCGCCGGAAGACCAAGGGUUCCUGUCCAACGUUAAUCGGGGCAGGGUGAGUCGACCCCUAAGGCGAGGCCGAAAGGCGUAGUCGAUGGGAAACAGGUUAAUAUUCCUGUACUUGGUGUUACUGCGAAGGGGGGACGGAGAAGGCUAUGUUGGCCGGGCGACGGUUGUCCCGGUUUAAGCGUGUAGGCUGGUUUUCCAGGCAAAUCCGGAAAAUCAAGGCUGAGGCGUGAUGACGAGGCACUACGGUGCUGAAGCAACAAAUGCCCUGCUUCCAGGAAAAGCCUCUAAGCAUCAGGUAACAUCAAAUCGUACCCCAAACCGACACAGGUGGUCAGGUAGAGAAUACCAAGGCGCUUGAGAGAACUCGGGUGAAGGAACUAGGCAAAAUGGUGCCGUAACUUCGGGAGAAGGCACGCUGAUAUGUAGGUGAAGUCCCUCGCGGAUGGAGCUGAAAUCAGUCGAAGAUACCAGCUGGCUGCAACUGUUUAUUAAAAACACAGCACUGUGCAAACACGAAAGUGGACGUAUACGGUGUGACGCCUGCCCGGUGCCGGAAGGUUAAUUGAUGGGGUUAGCGCAAGCGAAGCUCUUGAUCGAAGCCCCGGUAAACGGCGGCCGUAACUAUAACGGUCCUAAGGUAGCGAAAUUCCUUGUCGGGUAAGUUCCGACCUGCACGAAUGGCGUAAUGAUGGCCAGGCUGUCUCCACCCGAGACUCAGUGAAAUUGAACUCGCUGUGAAGAUGCAGUGUACCCGCGGCAAGACGGAAAGACCCCGUGAACCUUUACUAUAGCUUGACACUGAACAUUGAGCCUUGAUGUGUAGGAUAGGUGGGAGGCUUAGAAGUGUGGACGCCAGUCUGCAUGGAGCCGACCUUGAAAUACCACCCUUUAAUGUUUGAUGUUCUAACG